AUUGAACGCUGGCGGCAUGCCUUACACAUGCAAGUCGAACGGUAACAGGUCUUCGGAUGCUGACGAGUGGCGAACGGGUGAGUAAUACAUCGGAACGUGCCCGACCGUGGGGGAUAACGAGGCGAAAGCUUUGCUAAUACCGCAUACGAUCUACGGAUGAAAGCGGGGGAUCUUCGGACCUCGCGCGGACGGAGCGGCCGAUGGCAGAGUAGGUAGAUGGUGGGAUAAAAGCUUACCAAGCCGACGAUCUGUAGCUGGUCUGAGAGGAUGAUCAGCCACACUGGGACUGAGACACGGCCCAGACUCCUACGGGAGGCAGCAGUGGGGAAUUUUGGACAAUGGGCGAAAGCCUGAUCCAGCCAUGCCGCGUGCAGGAUGAAGGCCUUCGGGUUGUAAACUGCUUUUGUACGGAACGAAAAGCCUCUUUCUAAUAAAGAGGGGUCAUGACGGUACCGUAAGAAUAAGCACCGGCUAACUACGUG
rnacentral:rRNA from 1 species